rnacentral:rRNA from 1 species
AGUGAACGCUGGCGGUAGGCCUAACACAUGCAAGUCGAACGGCAGCACAGUAAGAGCUUGCUCUUACGGGUGGCGAGUGGCGGACGGGUGAGGAAUACAUCGGAAUCUACUUUUUCGUGGGGGAUAACGUAGGGAAACUUACGCUAAUACCGCAUACGACCUACGGGUGAAAGCAGGGGAUCUUCGGACCUUGCGCGAUUGAAUGAGCCGAUGUCGGAUUAGCUAGUUGGCGGGGUAAAGGCCCACCGAGGCGACGAUCCGUAGCUGGUCUGAGAGGAUGAGAGGCCACACUGGAACUGAGACACGGUACAGAAUCCUACGGGAGGCAGCAGUGGGGAAUAUUGGACAAUGGGCGAAAGCCUGAUCCAGCAAUACCGCGUGGGUGAAGAAGGACUUCGGGUUGUAAAGCCCUGUUAUUGGGAAAGAAAAGAAGCAGGAUAAGCUGCCGCUGUUCUGACGGUACCCAAAGAAUAAGCAGAGGCUAACUUCGUG